rnacentral:rRNA from 1 species
GACAGAGGAUGCAAGCGUUAUCCGGAAUGAUCGGGCGUAAAGCGUCUGUAGGUGGCUUUUUAAGUCCGCCGUCAAAUCCCAGGGCUCAACCCUGGACAGGCGGUGGAAACUACCAAGCUGGAGUACGGUAGGGGCAGAGGGAAUUUCCGGUGGAGCGGUGAAAUGCGUAGAUAUUGGAAAGACCACCGAUGGCGAAGGCACUCUACUGGGCCAUUACUGACACUGAGAGACGAAAGCUAGGGGGAGCAAAUGGG